CUGGUGAAGACACUAUUAAGAUUAUUGAAAUGGUGACAAAGGAUUUAGAAUAUGACAUAAAGUUAGUUGAUGGGGCAGCAGCAGGAAUAGAUUCAAUUUC